UCCAGCCUUGUGAGGAGAGAGAGUGCGAGUGUCGUAUGGUGUCUGGACAGCAUCCUUGGGACUGGCGGCUCUGCACGGCAGGUCCAGACAGACCUAGUGAGGGGAUUUGGUCACGCAGGAGUGGGAAACUGGGACACACUGGGAUCUGUGGCCGUCCGAGACUCGGUUUUACUGAGUUAGCCGGGGCCGACCCAGCAACGGUUGCUGCUACGUCCCAUUGGUCCAGCUGCAACUGGUGGUGUGCAGAUAUUGGGUGUCAGCUGUUGUGCUGGCAGCUGUCAGUCAGACACCACCUGCUUUUGCGCUGGAUUGGCUUCUAGACUGACUGUGUUGCAGGUCUUUGGACUAUGUGUGUAUGUUUGGGUGUAGCUUAUGUCAACAUGACUCCAUGCGGAUAAUUUUUUAUGCGUUUUUUUAACUUCCAUGGAUUAGGAGAAUCACUGGAGAACCAUCAUGUACAUGUGGAACAGACACCUGGGGUUGAAGCAUAUGGUCAACUACACAUCAGCCCCACAGGAGAUAGGAGGAAUUCCUGCCUUGGUCAAGGACGCUUCAUCGAGUUAGUGAUUAUGUAACACCUGCCUAGUUGACAGAUUGGUCUCUUUAACCUCAAGGACCUCCGUGAGCAUUGAUGCACACUGUUCGUCUCAACUUUAAGACUGGAAGUUAUUCUCCACAGCCUGAAAACUUACAAGGAAUGGAAGAAAAACACACAACUGGAAGAUUUGGCAAAAGACAAGUCAAAGCUACACGAUGAAAUCAGA